UUCAGUCUUAAGUAGAAACCUUCAUCUGAUACUGGAUAUCUUUCUCUCUGCUGCUCUGCUUUGCAAUAGCCUAUCCUUUGUGUUCCUUUGUUUGUUGUUUUUUGCAUAUAUUUGGUCACUGUGGGACUUUCACCUGCAGCGAUUCUUUGUCCUUCUCUUUUUCUGUUGAAAUUUGUAAUUGUCGAGUUCUAUGGCUCUGUAGGGAAGACCAGCUACAUGGUCGCUCUUGACAUGAAAAACUAGCUUCUUCUUCCAGAGUCAGCGACGUCGUAGCUUAAGUCUCGUCCGGCCGGAGACCAAUGAAUGGAUGAGAGGUGGUAGAGGCAAAACGGGAAUAUUGAAAUAUGGAGCUGAGGACCUGAAGUUCCUUAUAAGCUGAUCAGAUCCGCAUAUCACUCUAUCACCAUAUCUUCAAAUUACCUCGAUUCUCUCGUCCCUCCAAAAGAAAAGUACGAUGUCUUUCUCAGUUUUAGAGGCCUGGAUACUCGCCAGACUUUUACCAGUCAUCUUCAUGCUGCGCUGAUAAGGAGAAAAGUGGAAACCUACAUUGAUUACAGACUUGAGAGAGGAGAUGAAGUUGGACCCGCGCUUAACACAGCAAUCAAGAAAUCAAAGAUUUCCGUGAUCAUUUUCUCAGAAAACUAUGCUUCUUCCACAUGGUGCUUGGAUGAACUUGCCUAUAUACUGGAAAGCAAGGAAACACAGGGACAAUACGUUUUACCAGUUUUUUAUAAAAUUGAUCCAUCACAUGUACGUUACCAGCUUGGAAGUUAUGAGGCUGCAUUUGCUAAACAUGAACAGAGGUUGAAGGACAAUCCGGCCAAGGUGGCCAAGUGGAAGGGAGGUUUAGUAGAAGCAGCCACUUUAUCUGGGUUUGAUUCAAAAACUUUUCGGGAUGAUUACAAAUUAGUUGAGGAAGUCGUCAGUGAUGUGUUGGCUAAAUUGACACGGGAACCAUCAAUCGAUUUAGCUCGUUUGAUUGGAGCUGAAGGCCGUAUUCAGAAAAUUCUAUUAGAGUUAGACAUUAUCCCCGAAGAUGUUCGUGUUCGCUGUGUAGUUCUCUGGGGUAUGGGUGGUAUUGGCAAGACCACCCUUGCUGAGGCUGUAUAUUAUGGACUCUCUUCUCAAUUCAAAACCCACUACUUUCUCGCAAACGUUAGGGAAAAAUCAGGUACCGACCGAGCUUUCUCUCCUCAAUUGCAUGUUUUGCGAAAUGAACUUCUUGGAAAACUACUAGGGGACGAGAAAUUAGAUGUUACAACUCCAACCAUAGAUAAUGUUACUAAAUCGAGGCUCCGUCGUGCCAAAGUCCUUGUUGUUCUUGACGACGUGAAUGGUUCAAGCCAAUUAAGAUAUUUAGCCGAAGAAGUUCCAUUUGGCCCAGGAAGUAGAAUAAUUGUAACAACUCGAGACAUGCAGCCAGUCAAGGACACUUUACUAGUGAAGAAUAUAGCUGACUAUGAUGUUAAGAUAUACAAGGUGGAGAUGUUAAAUGAAGUUGAAUCUCUUCAGCUCUUGCAAUCAAAUGCUCCUAUGCAUGCAGGAAAUUCACAAUUUUUUGAAAAACUGGUAGAUCAUGCUGCAGGCAUUCCACUAGCCCUUGAAAUUUUGCGUCCGUUAAUCCAUAGAUACAAGACGGAAGAACAACGAGCGCAGUUGUGGGCUAAAUUGAAACAGGUUCCGAGCAAAAAACUUCGAACUAUGUACACAGCAAGUUAUGAUGGAUUAGAAAGAAA